CCCCAUACAGUUAGCUUCUAAAGAUCCUCUCUGAUGAGCACUUUUCUGAAAGAUAUUUAUUAUCCAUCCAGCUUAGCAAUGGCAAAUUUCUCAACUGGAUCAGCAGUGCUGCAUUUAGUCUAUUUUUAACUUAUUUUUCAAUUCUCAACAUAAUUCCAAUGACAUAGGUUUGUGUGUGUGCCCUUUAUUUUACCAAAACCAUCUCCUUUCUUCCCCAGGAGCUCAUACAAAGGCUGCGUUCAUCUCUCCCUUGUCCAGUUCUGCCUUUCUGUUGUGCUUCCUAAUCACUGCAUAACGCCACAUCCUGGUGGAAAAACAAAAGCCAUCUAUUAGAAACAACGUAAGGAUGAAAUCUCAGUUCACUGCAGCUGUCCUUGCAGCUACUGACAGCCCUACACGUUUGGUCUGGAGAUACAUUUCAGCUGGAAAAUUGGCAAAUUCAUGAGUAUUGUAAAUACCUGACAUCCUCCUCUGCAGCUUCAAGGUCUGAGCUCUCCUCCUGGCAGAUAUGCAGGCAUAAUGCUGACCAGCGCCUUCAUGCCAGCACUGCGGAGCCAGGUGCUGCUGAGGUCCUGGGAGCUCCCCUGUGCACAGGGCUCUGUGCCCACGCCUCCUCCUGCUUUGUGCCGAUCAGCUGCCUGAAAAGCUCUGCAAGACUCUGGGUUUGUGUCUGAAGCAAGAAGGAGGUGAGGAAGGACCCUGGAGAGAAGAAGAUCAUGCGUGAAGGAGCUUGCCUCUUCUAAAUACUUCCCUGGGGGGAGGUUGCAGCCUUGUCUGUGCUCUGCUCCCCUGGGGUCCUGCCCACUCUCCUGGCAGGGGAGCGUGCCUGGCUCUUCACUGCAGGCAUCUGCAAAUCUCCUUUCUGGUAGUUUACAUAUAACCCAUUUUUCAUGAA